rnacentral:rRNA from 1 species
AUUGAACGCUGGCGGCAUGCUUUACACAUGCAAGUCGAACGGCAGCGCGGGCUUCGGCCUGGCGGCGAGUGGCGAACGGGUGAGUAAUACAUCGGAACGUGCCCAGUAGUGGGGGAUAGCUCGGCGAAAGCCGGAUUAAUACCGCAUACGACCUGAGGGUGAAAGCGGGGGAUCUUCGGACCUCGCGCUAUUUGAGCGGCCGAUGGCAGAUUAGCUAGUUGGUGGGGUAAAGGCCUACCAAGGCGACGAUCUGUAGCUGGUCUGAGAGGACGACCGGCCACAUGGGGACUGAGACACGGCCCAGACGCCUACGGGAGGCAGCAGUGGGGAAUGUUGGACAAUGGGCGAAAGCCUGAUCCAGCAAUGCCGCGUGUGUGAUGAAGGCCUUCGGGUUGUAAAGCACUUUUGGCGGGAACGAAAAGGACUGUGCCAAUACCACGGUUCGAUGACGGUACCCGCAGAAUAAGCACCGGCUAACUACGUG